GAGGAUCAAAGUCGGAUAGGGGAAAAGAGGAAGUAAACGAAUAGCCGUGGAUAUCUAGUCGUCGACCACUUUCGAGAUCUCAUUUGGAAGCUACAGGCUCGGGGAUCGUCAGCAACUAGUCACACUAUCACUAUCCACUGUUUGGUACUGCUAUGUUUUGGAUUAUCUUAUGGCAUGUAUAGAAUAGACUAGUAGUGGGAGGAUAUUUUGGUUAAUGUAUAUAAGCCAUGCGAAAAUGGCUUUAAGUAUACUUUGAUCAUAGCAUUAUAAUCAUUUUGUAUGUCGUCCGUCGAGAGGUAUGGAAAUGUUGGUAACGGUUAGUCAUGGGAAUGGUUAUUCAUGAUUA